UACAGAGGUCUCAAGCGUUGUUCGGAUUCAUUGGGCGUAAAGGGUGCGUAGGUGGCGAGGUUAGUCAGGUGUGAAAUCUCGGGGCUCAACCCCGAAACUGCACUUGAUACUGCCUUGCUAGAGUACUGGAGAGGAGAUUGGAAUUUACGGUGUAGCAGUGAAAUGCGUAGAUAUCGUAAGGAAGACCAGUGGCGAAGGCGAAUCUCUGGACAGUUACUGACACUGAGGCACGAAGGCCAGGGGGGCAAACGGG
rnacentral:rRNA from 1 species